GUUUGUUAAACUUACUUAUAUAUGCUUUGACUUACUAUUGAAGCAAUUUGUAUAGAUAUUAUUAUUUGUUAAACAGAAACAAUUAGUAAAUCAUUCAAUAUCAUUUGCUGCAAAAUUAGCAUUAAAGAAUGAACGAUAAAAGGGGGAGGCGGUACAAUGGUCUAUUUACUAAAAAUAUAGAUACUUUAGUGCAUCUCGUAAGGUUGGAGUAGCGGGAGAGGGAACGGCGUCGAGGGUUUACGCCCCUCAACCUAAGUCAAUCUUAUUCAUUUUGGCACUCUUGGUGGCCGUAUUAUAAAGAUUCGACACAUGCGUACAGCAGUAACUAAUCAAGUUUGGCCAUUGUUUAGUUUAAACGGCCGGAAAGGAAAACAGUGAUUUGAUAGCUGUUUACUCUGCCAAUUACAAUGAAUUGUCAGAUAUACAGACAAAAGUAAAUGGCAGCAACAUGUGGGAAGUGCAGCUGUUUUUUUGUCAGCUGCUGCAGACAUUAUUGACCCAACAUCUGCAUCCAUAAGUCAAGUGAAUCCGUCAUAUCUUUCAUCAACUGGUUUGCUCACAAAUUUUGUGGCCCAACCUGCUAGACAGCAAAAUAUUGAGCUCAAAUCAAUUCCAUAAAAACUGAUGAAAUUUUUAUUUAUCACAGCCUAAUCUGCAUCGAAAAAGAAUGUCCAUAUAAAUGGUCGGGAAAUUACAAAAAUACUAUUGUAUAAAGAAACAGUCUAGUAUCAAUAAUAUUUUAGACCUCUCAUACCUUACCAAAAAUAUUUAGGAGUUCCACCUUCUUCUGUGUUCAACGAAAGGUUGUUUAGUACUGCCGGAAAUAUUUAUGAAUCAACACGGUUCUGACUAACUGUAGAACAUGGUGAAUAUCUAGCUUUUGUGCAUGUAAAUUGGAAAUUUUUUGGAGAAAAUAAUACAAAAAAAAACGUUUCGCAGUUUUAUAUAACAUAUUUUUUUACUGUUCAUAACGUUAUAAAUGUUUAUAUUUAUUUUUAAC